CACUCCUGUUCACCUUAUUUUUUCCAGGUUACAGGAGAAUCUCUUUCUUGUGAUUAACCUAUUUCCUUUCUCACAGAUCUUUUAGUAAUAAAAUCAUAAUUUCAUAGUAUUAAUUCAAGAUCUAAAACCCCGAAUGUACUAGUAGUUUAUUUGGCUUGGGAUUGUAAUAGUUUAUUUAUUUUGAAAUUGUAAACCUUUAUAUAGGAUGGGUAUUUAUCUUGGAAGAUGGAGCUGAGCUCCCAUUUGAUUAAAUUGCUAUGUUGAUGAUUGUGAGGAUGAGCUGAACUCCCCAAAUUGAUAUAUUUUGUGAUUAUAGAUCAGGUGAGUUAAAAACUCCCCGUUGAAUAGUCCAAUUUAUGGCCGGACUUUAUCCGUUUGUCUUCUUAAAAUUGGACUACAGUAAUAGACCUUAGGUUUGGGCUUAGAAUAGUUAGGCUUACUACGAGUUUUAGGGGUCUUAUACCGACUCAAGUCCUAGUGCCAGUCCAGCCCAUAAUUUGGGUCGUGACAUAGUUGAUAUCAGAGCUUAGGCUCCAGAUUCAUAGGGAAAAAUUAUCUA
rnacentral:misc_RNA from 1 species